UUAAAUUGAGAGUUUGAUCCUGGCUCAGGACGAACGCUGGCGGCGUGCCUAACACAUGCAAGUCGAGCGAUGAAACUUCCUUCGGGAAGUGGAUUAGCGGCGGACGGGUGAGUAACACGUGGGUAACCUGCCUCAAAGAGGGGGAUAGCCUCCCGAAAGGGAGAUUAAUACCGCAUAACAUUAUUUUAUGGCAUCAUAAAAUAAUCAAAGGAGCAAUCCGCUUUGAGAUGGACCCGCGGCGCAUUAGCUAGUUGGUGAGGUAACGGCUCACCAAGGCAACGAUGCGUAGCCGACCUGAGAGGGUGAUCGGCCACAUUGGAACUGAGACACGGUCCAGACUCCUACGGGAGGCAGCAGUGGGGAAUAUUGC
rnacentral:rRNA from 1 species